rnacentral:rRNA from 1 species
CCCAGACCCACAGCUAAGGUCCCAAAUUUUGUGCUAAGUGGAAAACCAUGUGGAAAGGCACAGACAGCCAGGAGGUUGGCUUAGAAGCAGCCACCCUUUAAAGAAAGCGUAAUAGCUCACUGGUCGAGUCGGUCUGCGGGGAAGAUUUAACGGGGCUAAGCACAGAACCGAAGCUUGGGGUGCAUACUUUGUAUGCGCGGUAGAGGAGCGUUCCGUAAGCCGUUGAAGGUGGAUUGAGAAGUCUGCUGGAGGUAUCGGAAGUGCGAAUGCUGACAUGAGUAACGAUAAUGCGGGUGAAAAACCCGCACGCCGAAAGCCCAAGGUUUCCUUGCGCAACGUUAAUCGGCGCAGGGUGAGUCGGCCCCUAAGGCGAGGACGAAAGUCGUAGUCGAUGGGAAGCAGGUUAAUAUUCCUGCACCUCGCGUAAGUGCGAUGGAGGGACGGAGAAGGUUAGGUGUACCAGGCGUUGGUUGUCCUGGGGAAAGGCGGUAGGUUUGGAUCUUUGGCAAAUCCGGGAUCCUUUAAGACCGAGCACCGAGACGAGCCUUUAUGGCGAAGUCACUGAUACCACGCUUCCAGGAAAAGCUCCUAAGCUUCAGCUUACGCAGACCGUACCGUAAACCGACACAGGUGGGUAGGAUGAGAAUUCUCAGGCGCUUGAGAGAACUCGGGUGAAGGAACUAGGCAACAUGGCACCGUAACUUCGGGAGAAGGUGCACCCUUUUUGGUGGCUCGUGCGAGCUAUAGCUGAAGAGGGUCGCAGUAACCAGGCCGCUGCGACUGUUUAUCAAAAACACAGCACUCUGCAAACACGAAAGUGGACGUAUAGGGUGUGACGCCUGCCCGGUGCUGGAAGGUUAAUUGAUGGGGUCAGCCGCAAGGCGAAGCUCUUGAUCGAAGCCCC